AUGGAGAAAACCGUAGCACUAGCUCUGCUGCUACUCUUCACUCUCCUGACCACGACCCAUCGGUUCGCGGAUGGCCAGGCCUACUGCCGGUCGCAGAUCAGCCUCGCAAACGAGGCCUGCAACCUGAGGACCUUCCCGGGGUCGAGGCCCCCCUACGUGCCCCGGCAGCUACUCAACGAAACAUCCACGUCGACGACACCCGGCAGCAAGGACUACGAGCUUCGGUCCCGGGACGACGACGACGACGACGAUGACAACGAUGAAGGGGGAGAACAUGAGGGGCGGCACCGGCGUCGACAGCGGCACCGCCACAGCGCCGACAACAGCGACCCGCGUGACACAGCCUGCUGCCGCCGGCUGAUGUCCAUCGACAACUCGUGCAUCUGCCAGGCGUCGGCGCGCCUCCCGGUGUUCAUGACCUCGGUGUGGCACGUCAUCAAGCUCACGCCGGUGGAGGGCUGCGAGGUCACCUACGAGUGCCCUGGCGCCUUGUCACCGCUGGGCUGA
rnacentral:rRNA from 1 species